rnacentral:lncRNA from 1 species
UCAGAGUUGACGGUGGACCCGGAUCGCCUUUUUGGCGACAGAUUGUGCCGAGGGCACGUGAACUGUUGGUUAUUAGACUAGUUAGAGUCGGUUACUUGACUUUGGCUUUUCAGAGCCUGUUUGAGCUCGACAGAGAUACGCUGCAUACUCAGUUGGGUAGCGCCCACGAGUGCCACUCCAGAGACGGCUUUGUGCUUUCGCGUUGGUGUCGCUCAUGCCGGUUGGACUUGCUCUCCACGGACCAGUUAGUGUGGAGGUAGCUGGAUAGUCGCAACUGGGCAGGGACGGGUGUAUUCACAGUCCCAGGGACGGGUAGGCUUACAGUCCCGAUUGGAUUGGGCCAGAUUUGAUAUUUCCUACAGUUGGUUAGUGUAGAGCAUGAUAGUGUAGUGAUUGAUAGCG